ensembl:lncRNA
GUUUAUUUUGCUUGCUUUGCACUUCAUAUAAAUGGAACCACAGCACAAGCUAUCUUUUGUUUCUGGCUUCUCUCACACAAUACAAUGUUUUGAUAUUCAUACAUGUUGUUGCACGUAUCUUAAAAUUUUUAUUUCAUUGUAUGAAUACACCACCAUUUUUCUUUUAUACACGUUUGGGUUGUUUCCAGUCAUUGGCUAUAUAAAUAAAGUUACCGUGAACAUUUUUGUACAAGUUCUUUUGAGGGGAUACAGCUUGUCAUAAAUCUUUGGUAAAUACCUAGGAAUGGGAUUGCUUAGCCAUAUGAUAGGAUUUGUUUAAAUGUAUGAGAAAUUGCCAACAGUUUUCCAAAUCAUUUGUACCAUUUUUUCCACAGCUUGUUGUGUUUUAAUUGAUAUUUAAUUGAAUCUACACACCAAUUUGGGGUGAAAUGACAUUUUAACAAUAUCAAAUCUUCCAGUCAAUGAACAUUAUAUAUAUAUAUCUUUCCAUUUUUUUAGGGUUUUUUUUGGUUUUGGGGUUUUUUUGUUGAGGAAGAUUGGCCCUGAGGUAACAUCUGUGUCAACCUUCCUCUAUUUUGUACGUGGACUGCUGCCACAGCAUGGCUUGAUGAGUGGUGUAGGUCUGCACCCAGGAUCUGAACCUGCGAACCCGGGCUGCUGAAGUGGAGUAUGCCAAACUUAACCACUUCACACACCACUGGGCUGGCCUCUUCUUAGGGUUUUUAAAAAUUUUGUCUCAGAAAUAUUUUGUUGUUAAUGGUGCAAAGGACAUGUAAGCCUUUGUUAAAUAUAUUCCUAAAUAUUUCAUGUUUUUAUGCUAUUGUAAGUAGUAUUGUUUUUAAAAUUUCACUGUUCAACUAUUCAUUACUAUCAUAUAGAAAUAAAAUGUUUUAUUUUUUGUACAUUUUGUACAUUGAUCUUGUAGUAUGUGAACUGGCUAAAAUCAUUUAUUAGUUCUAGCUGUUUGUUUAUUUUGUUCUUUUUGUAGAUUCCUUUGUAUUUUCUAUGUGCACCAUCAUGUUGUCUUCUAAAGACAAAAAUAGAAUUUUUUUCCUUUCCAACCUUUAUGCAUUUGAUUUCUUUUCCUUGCUUUAUCACAAUGGCUAGGACCUCUAGUAUAAUAGAAGUGGUGAGUGGAGAUAUCAUUGCCUUUUUUCUGAUCUUAGGAGAAACUGUUCAAUAUUUUACCAUUAAAUUUUCUCUUCAUUAUGGAUCCCAUUUUCUUGCUUUAUUGAAUGUGUUAUUUUUUUUAAAUUCCAUUCCCAAUAUUAAGUAUAAAGGACCAGUGUUGUUUUGUUUUACUUAUUUUCAAAACAGUACAAGUUCCUUCCUUAUUUGGCUGUUGGGAAAAAGGCUGUUUAUUCUGAUUCUUUCUAGGGUUUGAGUUGAGCUGAGCCUGGCCCACCACUUUAGCUGGGUUGAGUUUAUCUACCCUCAGCUAUGGAAGCUAAGAUGGCUCUCUGCUUAGCUAUGAAGAAUUCAUUUCACCCUAGUACUCAGUCCGUCAAGCCUUCCUUGCACCCCAGGCUCUUUCAUAAUUCCAUAGAAAAGUGUAAUUUUUAUUUUGUGCCAGAUUUUCUAGUUACCACAAAUGUGAAGUUCUUUUGUAUCCUUUUACAUCCUAACCAUUAACAUUUUAUUUUUCUGUAUGUGUGUGUAAAUCUUCAAAUAUUUGGGAGAGUUCAAUUUGUUUCUCCUUAUCUUUUUUGUCCUUUAUUGCAUUUCUCUCAUUGUUUAUUAUUUUUUAUGCUUGUUUUCUGCAUCUUUCUUGAAAUGUGCUAUCUCAGGUUUCCUCCCUUCCUCCUUUUGCCUUGUCUUAUAUUUCCUAUAUUCUUUUCUCCCUUCUUCCAUUUCUUUUUUGUAAUUCUUCCUUUAUAAAAGUAAUUGCUUUACUAAGAAAUAAAAGCAUGUCACAAUUUUCAUCUUCUUAUGGCCACCUUUUUGUAGUCUAUUGGUAAAUUUUGCUGCUCUCUUCCACGUAUUUAUCCUACAGCAUCUUUGUGUUGACGCUGUGCCAGUUUCAUUUAUUACUCAUUACUGAAUGAGUUGAAUUUUCCUGGGCCUGAUAUUUGCAGGAGGUUCUUGGUUAGGAGGGAGAGGCCAGGAUAAUCUUCUAUGAUUUAUAACUCAAAGAUUCUCUCUUCCGCAUCUUACAAAUACAACACAUCAUUGUUUGCAUUGCUUUCUUUAGCCCCAAACCAGGUUCAGCAGGGUUUUUCCCACCAGCCUUGCUUACUCAAUUUCUCAGACCCUCCAAACAAGAGAUAGAACUUUUCUCUUUACGGUAAGCUCCUUAUCUUUAGAAAAAGCAUUUUUCGCUGCUUUUGAGAUCUGCUGUGAUUGACCCUCUAGCCACUUUUUUUCCACUUCCCUUACAACGCAACUUUUUUCAGAUCUCAGCUGCUCUUGGUAGCUCUUACAAGUACUUUAAGUUUGCUUAUUAUAUUGUCUGCAGUUUUUUAAAAUUUGUUAUUUUCCUUAUUGCUUUCAUGUGAUUUCCAGGAGAAGGGGGCAAAAAGUCUACUUGCACAACCACAUUAAUAUCAGAAGUCACUUGAAGGUGUUUGGCAGGGACGCAAGUUUUUUUUUUUUCUUUUUGAGGAAGAUUCGCCCUGAGCUAACAUCUGUGCCCAUCUUCCUCUAUUUUUUUAUACGUGGGACGUCUGCCACAACAUGGCUUGAUAAGCAGUGCUUAUGUCAAAACUGGUGAACGCCAAAGUGGAGCAUGCAAACUUAACUGCUAGGCCACUAGGCCAGCCACAGGACCUAAGUUUUAAUCAUGUCUUAUAAGACAUUGUUUCAUCUACUCUCUUUUAUAAUGUCAAGAGACAUUAAUUAUAAAAACAGUAAGCAAGGACUUAAAAUGUAAGCUCUCUAAUUUGUCUUAUUAACCACAUGUGGAAUAUUUCCCAAUACCUUCUACUAAGG